rnacentral:tRNA from 1 species
AUUUGGUCUAGUGGUAUGAUUCUUGCUUAGGGUGCCAGAGGUCCUGAGUUCAAUUCUCGGAAU